GGCAUGGUUUACCUGGAUCCCCAAAUUCUGCGAAACCGUAUUUGAUGCAGUUAUAUGAGGAAGAAGCACUGUUAAAUCCUGAGAGAGAGGAGCUGGAAGGUUACCAAACCCAAAAAGGAGUGUGAGUCAGCAGAUGUGCCCGAGUCCAGCGGCCGACAUGAGUCAGCACCGACUGAGCACUCCUUAUCCUUCUGGAGGGUUGUUUCUCUGCACCAUUUACCUUACGUGACCAAGGCUGCAGUGCCAGCACUGCCCUUCCCCUUUCUCUGGGCUCCCCAGCCUCUCCCCGUCGCGGAUGGCUGCAGCCCCCUCCAGCUGAGUCAGUCCUCCCUCCCCGCAGCAUUGCAGCACCUCCGCAGCACCCGCUCCUGCUCCUGCAGCACCCGCUCCGCUCCCGCCGCCGCCGCAGCAGCAGCAUGGCCAGCACCGUCUCAGGUAGGACAGGCAUCUUUUAGGGGGAGGCUUAGCAUCAACCCACUUAUAGAACUAGAAAAUUUUAUUUUUUAAAUCAUUAUUCUGAGGGUUUG
rnacentral:lncRNA from 1 species